GUCCCUGUAGCGCAAUGAAUAGCGUGUUGGACUUCUAAUCCAAAGGUCGUGGGUCGGAAUCCUAUUUGGGAUG